GAUGAACGCUAGCUACAGGCUUAACACAUGCAAGUCGAGGGACGGGCGCACGGGUGAGUAACACGUAUCCAACCUGCACUUUACCCGGGGAGAGCCUUUCGACAGAAAGAUUAAUACCCGAUAUAAAGGAUGGGGAUGCGUUCCAUUAGGUUGUUGGUGAGGUAACGGCUCAACAAGCCUUCGAUGGAUAGGGGUUAUGGGAGGAAGGUCCCCCAGAAUGGAACUGAGACACAGUCCCAACUCGUACGGGAGGGAGCAGUGACGAAUACUGGUCAAUAGGGGCUAGCCUGAAACAGCCAAGUAGCGUAAAGGAUGAAGGCUUAUUGGUCGUAUACUGCUUGUAUAGAAGAAUAUGUAUUAUAUGAAUAAGGAUCGGCUAACUCCGUGCCAGCAGCCGCGGUAAUAC
rnacentral:rRNA from 1 species